UAUCUUUGAGUGUAUCUUGCACAUAAUUUUUUGAAUUUUAAGGAAAACCUAGUUUAAAGAUAA
rnacentral:tRNA from 1 species